ACGGCUUUGAGCUGAAUCUCUGCUAUUGCAACCCGAAAGAUGUUGAUCUUUACAAGAAGAGAAUGAAGCCCAGCGAAAGCUGGGUGGAGGUUCGACUUGCGUUCUAACGUGCAAAUUGAUGCUCUCAUUUUUGUAAAGGGGCGAAAUACUCAUCGAAACAUUUAGUAGCUGGUUCCUUUCGAAGUUUCUCCCAGGAUAGCUGUGUUUUAUUAAAGAGUCUUGCCAUGUAAAAGCGAACGUUUAGAAGAUUUGGGGAUAAUUUUUCCUCUGCUUAUUCACGAACUUUAAAUGGGCACGAAAAAAAGUUUACUUAAUUUUGAAACUUUUAUUGGAUCGAAAAAAACAUUAGUGGGCCUCUUCUGGUAAGCAGGACGGGCGAGGUGGGAUGCUCCAAGUGUUGUUGGUUAAAGUGCCAAAGUGUUCGCUAAUUUAGAUACCAAAAAAGGUGUUUUGUUUCAUAGACAGUUGGGCUGUGGCCAUGGAAGCAGGAAUCAGCCAAGGAAUGCGUAAUAGCUCACCAGCCGAGAG
rnacentral:rRNA from 1 species